rnacentral:rRNA from 1 species
UUCCUUACGGGGGGGGGCAGCAGUGGGGAAUUAUUGGACAAUGGGCGCAAGCCUGAUCCAGCCAUACCGCGUGGGUGAAGAAGGCCUUCGGGUUGUAAAGCCCUUUUGUUGGGAAAGAAAUCCAGCUGGUUAAUACCCGGUUGGGAUGACGGUACCCAAAGAAUAAGCACCGGCUAACUUCGUGCCAGCAGCCGCGGUAAUACGAAGGGUGCAAGCGUUACUCGGAAUUACUGGGCGUAAAGCGUGCGUAGGUGGUCGUUUAAGUCCGUUGUGAAAGCCCUGGGCUCAACCUGGGAACUGCAGUGGAUACUGGACGACUAGAGUGUGGUAGAGGGUAGCGGAAUUCCUGGUGUAGCAGUGAAAUGCGUAGAGAUCAGGAGGAACAUCCAUGGCGAAGGCAGCUACCUGGACCAACACUGACACUGAGGCACGAAGAGCCGUGGGGAGCAAACAGGAUUAGAUACCCUGGUAGUCCACGCCCUAAACGAUGCGAACUGGAUGUUGGGUGCAAUUUGGCACGCAGUAUCGAAGCUAACGCGUUAAGUUCGCCGCCUGGGGAGUACGGUCGCAAGACUGAAACUCAAAGAAAUUGACGGAUGAC